rnacentral:rRNA from 1 species
GAUGAACGCUGGCGGCGUGCUUAACACAUGCAAGUCGAACGAUGAAGCCCAGCUUGCUGGGUGGAUUAGUGGCGAACGGGUGAGUAACACGUGAGUAACCUGCCCUUAACUCUGGGAUAAGCCUGGGAAACUGGGUCUAAUACCGGAUAGGAGCGUCCACCGCAUGGUGGGUGUUGGAAAGAUUUAUCGGUUUUGGAUGGACUCGCGGCCUAUCAGCUUGUUGGUGAGGUAAUGGCUCACCAAGGCGACGACGGGUAGCCGGCCUGAGAGGGUGACCGGCCACACGGGGACUGAGACACGGCCCAGAAGCCUACGGGAGGCAGAAGUGGGGAAUAUUGCACAAUGGGCGAAAGCCUGAUGCAGCGACGCCGCGUGAGGGAUGACGGCCUUCGGGUUGUAAACCUCUUUCAGUAGGGAAGAAGCGAAAGUGACGGUACCUGCAGAAGAAGCACCGGCUAACUACGUG